UCUCCUAUAGCAUUCGUCUCAUAAAAUUUUGGUAGUAAAGAUCAUUAAAUUUUCAAGAUUCAGUUCUCCUUCCGAUGGGUUUCCCAUUUAAUGUUAGAUAUUGAGUUAACAUUUGGGAGUUCUUCUGUUGCCAAGGAAACCAUUGGCAUCAUGACGAGUAUGGACAUGCCGCUAGCACGGUGAAACUUGUCCAGACACGCAAAGCUGCUUCUCCCCAUUACGGGCACCCAUGUGGAAGAUAAAUAUCAUCUACUGAUUCGACGCGCGUGGAGUCCAAUUCGAGGAGCAAAGGCGUCACGAGUUAGAGAAUUAGCCUGUUCGAUGUGAGUAAUGGUUGUAAAUGAUGUCCUGAGGAUUUGAAACCUCGAAUUGCACAUCGUAGUGC